UGUAAACAUCCUUGACUGGAAGCUG
rnacentral:ncRNA from 9 species